AGGAAAUGAUGCACGAUGAUGUUUUGCUAAUUCACAAAUUUCACAUUUAAAGGAAGAAGAACUUUUAUUAGCAAACAAGUUGGGAAAUAAAUAUUGCAAAUACUGAAAACUAGGAUGGCCUAACCUAAAGUGCCACAACAAAACUUCAUUGUCAUUAUUAACAACAGAAACAGAAUUGAAACAAAUACGUGGAGGUUGUUGUCUCAAACUUGGUACUUCUUCAAAGAAAUACAGCCCCCCACUUUGUCUAGCACUGCCAAUCAUCUUCCCCGAGGUCAAAUCCUGAAAUUCACAAUGUUUUUGGAAGAAAUUAGCGCAACAGUUCAAAGAUUGCAAGAUAGGUUAGGAACAUGCAGAACAUUAUGAAGAGUGAGAGUGGAAGAAAGAAUGAUAAACCCUUUUCUAGCAAUAACCGAAAGGGAUCCGUCAGCGAUCUUAAUUUUUUGAUUUCCUGCACAUGGCUUAUAGGCAGAAAACAAAGAUGGAGAGCCUGUCAUGUGAUCGGUUGCUCUUGAAUCAAUAAUCCAAGAAAAAGAAUUCGAAUGAUGACAAACAAGGGCAGCAGAAAGAUAAUUACCUUUUUGAGUUAAUGAGCAAGAGGGAGUAGAUGAAUUGAAGGAUGAGGAUUGAAACAAUUUAUACAAGUGCUCUAAUUGAUCCUUGGUGAAAGGUGAUGACUCUGAAGAACCUGAUUGCUCUUGAUCUGAAGUAGCUUGGAAGGCUCGUCCAUCACCUCCUUGUUUCUUCUUCACAUGAGGAGGCUUGCCAUGUAGCUUCCAGCAAGUUUCUCUUGUAUGCCAAGCCCUUUUACAGAAGUCGCACCAAGGUUUCUUUGAAUUCCUUCGAUCUCCAUCAGGUUCAGGUGCCUUUGAAACAAGAGCAGAACUCUCUGAACUCUCUACUUCACUGGUGGCUUUAACAUCAUUAAGCAUGACAUUCCGUCGUGCUUCUUCUUUUCUUACCUCAGAAAACACUUCUCGAAUAGAUGGAAGGGGUUUCCUGCUCAGAAUUCUGCCUCUCACUUCGUCUAAAUCACGGUUUAGCCCAGCCAAGAACACAUAUACUCUGUCAUUUUCCAACAUCUUCUUAUACCUUACACUAUCACUCGAGCAGUCCCACUGCUCAUCAUAGCAAAGAUCUAAUUUCUGCCAAAGGAUCAACAGUUCAUUAUAGUAAGUUGUGACCUCCCGAUUACCUUGCUUGGACUGCCACAGUUGAGUUUUCAACUCAAAUAUCUGAGAUGAAUUUUCUAAAUCAGAAUAGGUAUCUCGGAUUGCAUCCCACACCGCCUUGGCUGUCGAUAAGAACAGAUAAGGCUUACCAAUCCUAGCCUCCAUUGAGUUUAUCAACCACACAAUAACCAUUGAAUUUGCUGAUCUCCAGGUCGGAAGAGAAGGAUCUCCAGCAGCUGGUUUUGUUACUUCACCAGUCAAAUGCCCCAGCUUUCCCUUUCCAUCAAUUACCAACUUAACGCACUGUGCCCACUCUAAGUAAUUUUUUCCAUUCAAUUUAUGAACAGUUAGUUGCAAAGAAGAGCUAUCCUGGUUAUAUUCAGACUGCUGCAACAGCGGCUGAGGAGUUGUGGUGUUACUAUCAUCAUUUUCGGCAGUAGAUGCCGAUGAGCUCUUUGUAGCUCCAGUCAUGGCAGUUUUCACCAUUGAAAAAUAGACCUCUAAAUAUUCAUUGCUCUGAUACCAUGUAAAUAUUUAGAGUCUGAAAAUGCUAUUUUCCUUAUUCCAUUCAUUCUACAAGUUACACUUAAAUAGAAUGUAGAAAACAAACUCCUAAUAGAUAUCCCCUAACUGUAGGAUACUUAUCUAAACUUGAAUUUAAAAAAAAAGAUUAUCUAAAACUUUAUUCCGAUAAGACUUUAAAACUAAACUAAUUAUCUAAAACUUUAUUCUGAUAAGACUUUCAAACUAACUGAAAAAUCCUAACCAGUGCAUUUCCAUUUUCAUCAUGUGAAUCACAAGAGGAAAUUGCCAUCAACCUUGGUUGGGAUUUGGGUACCUCUUGCUGAUCACAUAGCUUUAAUUUCUUACUUGGCUUCUCAAAUAACUCCUCUAAAGUUCUUUCCAGUUGUGGUGGCCUUUUUGGACUAGGAAGCUCAAUUUCCUGUUUCCCCACAAGCUGCAUUGAAUCUGUGGGUAAAUUAACAGAUGCUGAUGUUACUUUUCUUUGGUCUGCCGCAACCUUCACUUGACCACAAAUGUCCAGCUGUUGCUGCUGUUCUGCUUGAAAAGUAGAAGCAAGCACAGUUUCACUCCCCGUACUUGGAGGAUUCUCUGUUUGCAGCAAAUGCUCCUCUACCAAUUCCUGUUGUUUUCUGAUUUUAGGCAUUAAUUUGUUAUUUCCUGAUACUUCCAAGUUCAAAGAACAGAUGAUAUCAAUCAGCUUCCCCUCUACCUUGUUAGUCUUCUUCAACAAUUCCAUUAAAUCUUCCUAAAAUCCAGAUAAGCACAUAAUGACAUCAGAUUUAUCAAGUGGAAUUAAACUGAAUUAGAACAUUAACAGGUAAACUAUUUUGGUGACUAACCUUCUGUAAAUGUGAUGAAUCAGAAAGAUCCACUUUUUGACCUGUGACAUUAUUUUGGGUGCUGACAGUGGCUAUAUUGUCAUUUUCUUUCUUUAUAAGCUUGACCAGCAUGUUGCUAUUUAUUUAACAAGAAAAAUAACACUGUAAGAAUGAUCAUAAGAACAAGAAUAAAAGAGAGAUGCAAUAAAGAUUGAGGAUAAUAGAAAAGAAGAACACCUAAGAUCAAAAAUCUGGCAGCACACUUCCAUUUUUUGUUCCUGUAACCUCUUUUCCUCUUCAGUCCCUUCAAAGUGUUGCCUUUCUGGAUUAAUAUGUUCCACAAUUUCUUCAAAGUGUAUUUCUGGAAACUGAGCUUGCUCAUCUCGAACUUCACUUUCUGAAUUUGUUGUUUGAUUUAUCUUUUCAAGUUUCUUGCUUUCCAGUUCUUUAUGAUAUGGUUCUUCAAUAACUUCAUCUUCUCGUUCUUUCCGAUAUUCAGCUUCAGUUACUUCACUUUUCUUUCCAGGAUUACUCCCUUUUUCUUGAUAGUUCUCUUCUAUGGUCAACCCAACUGUUUCGCUUAGUACUUGACUUUGCUGUAGAUUCAAUUCCUUUCGCUGUUGAUUCUGCCACUCUUGCAUUUGAUCAUGUACGUCAUCCGUUUCCCUUCCUUGUUCAGAUUCAAUCUGCUCUUCAACUACCUUUAAUCGUAUUUCUCCCACUUCAUUUUGUUCUUUGCUUACUUCAUCUCCUCGUUCAUUUUGAUUUUCUGCUUCCAUUAUUUCACUACUCUUUUCAGCCUGAUUAUUCCUUUCUGCUUGGUAAUUCUUUUCUACGGUCACAUCAAUUGUUUCACUCACUGCUUGACUUUGUUGCAGAUCCAAUUCCUUAUGCUGGUGAUUCUGCUGCUCUUGCAUUUGAUCAUGUUCUUCGUUCCCUUCCCAGUCUUGUUCAACUACAAUUUGUUCUUC
rnacentral:lncRNA from 1 species